CAGCAGCCGCGGGAAUACGUAGGUGGCAAGCGUUGUCCGGAAUUAUUGGGCGUAAAGGGCUCGCAGGCGGUUUCUUAAGUCUGAUGUGAAAGCCCCCGGCUCAACCGGGGAGGGUCAUUGGAAACUGGGAAACUUGAGUGCAGAAGAGGAGAGUGGAAUUCCACGUGUAGCGGUGAAAUGCGUUGAGAUCGGAAAGAACACCAACGGCGAAAGCACUCUGCUGGGCCGACACUGACACUGAGAGACGAAAGCUAGGGGAGCAAAUGGGAUUAGAUACCCCUGUAGUCCCUGUCUCUUAUAC
rnacentral:rRNA from 1 species